GAUGAACGCUGGCGGCGUGCCUAAUACAUGCAAGUCGAGCGCACGAACGAGGAGCUUGCUUCUCUGGUAUUAGCGGCGGACGGGUGAGUAACACGUGGGUAACCUACCUAUAAGACUGGGAUAACUUCUGGAAACCGUAGCUAAUACCGGAUAAUAGUUUGAACCGCAUGGUUCAAAAGUGAAAGACGCUCUUGCUGUACCUUAUAGAUGGCUCCGCGUUGCAUUAGCUAGUUGGUAGGUAAACGGCUUACAAAGGCAACGUAGCAUAGCCGACCUGAGAGGGGGACCGGCACCACGGGAACUGGGACCCGGUCCAGAUUCCUACGGGAGGCGGAAGUAGGGAUCCUUCGGAAAUGGGCGAAGGCCGGCCGGAGAAACGCGCCGGGAUGGAUGAAGGUCUCCGGAUCGAAAAACUUUGUUAUUAGGGAAGACCAUAUGUGUAAGUAACUGUUCACAUCUUGACGGUACCUAAUCAGAAAGCCACGGCUAACUACGUG
rnacentral:rRNA from 1 species